CGCAGCUUCGUGAUUUCACCUCUGCAGUGUUCCCCCCACCAUUAUUCCGCCACCUCAAUCAGAGGAUGAACAGAGGCCUAGUGAAGAUGGGCAGCGUCUAGGAGGACUGCAGAAGGAGCAAUCAGAACAAAAGACAACAAAGCAAAAUGGUCUGGCAUCCACUCAAAUCAAAGUUCCUAGGGGACACAUUUGGAAGCUGUCUUGGGAUUGCAUCACCUUGCAUCCCGUGCUCUGGUGAAUGGCUGGAGCCUCCUGCACACACCUGCAUGGCGUGGAGCACUGGAGAGACUAUUUACUUUUUUUCCCCCAAAUGAUUCAGGAGUUAUACUCCUUUGUAGUUACUCUUUUAAUAUUCUUUCAUUGUCAACACAAAGCUGAUUUUUCAACAUGCACAAGGUAUGUGUGAAAAAGUUGGCAACAAUUUCACAUGUUCCAUUACCACCACCUGCAGGACUGAAAUAUAGCUGCAUAAAAAGUGUGAGCUUUAUUAGUUUAUAUUUUCAUUUAUAAGCCUCACAGAAUUCGUCAACAAUAGUAUCAAGUCUCUCAAAAUGCACUAUUUCAUAUACACUUUUUCACCCACAAUUGUUGAGAAAAGGUGAAUGUUAUUUUUGACAGAUGUAUUCUAUUUCUACAGUUUUUUAAUAGUAUGAGUGUUUUAUAUUUUUUUUCUCAUCAUAGCAAAGAUCAGAACUAAUUAAAUAAAAUAAUAAUCAUUGAA